UAGAAAACAAUUGCCUCUGAGCACGUGUAUGGAUUUCCUUGCAGGAGUCUGAGCUGGCAGUUAUUUUAAUUAGCAACACAUUUUAUAAGGGCAGAAUCAGAAAUGGAAACAUGUCAAAGCCUCUUUAGCUAUUGAGUUUGGCAGACUAACAUGCGUGUGCCUGGGUAUGGUAAUCAGCUCUUGACUCCCCUCCAUCUCUCCCAAGAGAGCCAUGUGAACAUACAGAGCCCCCUACUUGGAUAUGGGAGGACUUAUCAAUAUCACACACCAAAUGCUGAAGAUUCAGGAGUCCUCUUGAAGCCACUUCUGGGGAAAGUCUUCUCAAGAAGGAGUGCAACUCCCUACUCUUACUGAAGAUGGACAUUCCUGGAUUUGAGUCUUAAGGAAAUUCACAGGUAUAAAUACACAAAGAAAAUACAAAGGAGCUAAGAGCAAAAAAAUUUGGAAAAUGGAAAGCAACUGGGUUCGUAGUAAUAGACUCAGCAGAAUUAUAAAUAUGAGAACAAAGGAGAUCCUACAGUUUGCAGAGAAGAAGUACUUUUCCUUGGGAAGCUACUAGAGAAUGUGUUCCAUAAAAAGAGAAUAAACCAACGAGAAGAAGGCUGGAGUUCCAGGAAAUAGAGAAUCCAACAUAACAAUGAAGAUUCAUAACAUCAGAGGGAAUCUCCAGGGUGAUAGUGAGAGAUAUUGCAAAAAAACUGUGCAGAAGCCCUAAGAGAGAAAUUAGUUCAGGUUGGGUUCUCCUGAAGCAGAGGCUGAUAAGGAGUUCAGCAUGAGAAUAUUUAUUGGAAAUCAAUACUUCUCAGGAAUUGGGAAGAAGUGAGAGGGAAGAAGCAAAAUGGAACAGUAGGAGAAGCUGAAUUAUAAUGCAGAUACAAUAAAGCUUUGGCCAAUUCCUCAGUGACUCUAGAACAUUAUAGUCCAUUUGAGUUGCUCCACAGUGGGCUGAAGUGAUUGAAGUGACUUUUAUAGCUUCUCCAUUAUCAGUUUUUGGAUAUGGGCCACCUGGGGAAAGGCAUGCUCUUGGGCAGGACAGCUCUCUGCAGCUGAGACAAAAAAUGAUGAAGCUGACAGCUGGAGGCUGUCUGCUGACUUAUUCCCAGCAGCCAGAACAAAAGGUCCCUCCUUAAAGGGGUUUCUGGGCAACAUAUUUCCAUGGCCACCACCCUGCUCCAGGUUGGAGCAGAUUAAAAGAUUCCAGAAGAAAGUUCUUCAAAGAGAUGAAAUUGAUAGACUACCUAAUGUGUUUUGAAUUACACAACUGGGUGUUAAGGUUAAGGAUGAAUGAAUGAAUGAUGAGUACACAGAAACCUAAGGAAAGGAUAAAAACAAGAGUAAUUCCAAGUACAAGGAAAUACUGUGCAAGAAACUAAUCAUACAAUACUGCAUGCCCAGCUAUAAAUCAUCUUAAGUGGUCAUACAAUUACACGGAGAGAAUGAAGGAAUGAGAAAGGUAGAUAGCGAUAAAUCCUCAUCUACCAUAGUGUAGUAAUUAAAAUAGUAUUAUAACUUAAUGCAGUUUUGACACAUCAAGAAAUAGCAACAUAAGCUUGGCUUAAAUAUAUAGAGAAAAAUGCUGAAAGAGUCUAAAUGCUAAAAGAGUUAGAAGUGUUGCAAUUGCUGCCACCAAAAAGAGGAAUAUAGGAAUAGACAAAGAAGCGUUACUUUUCAUAGAAUUACAUACACAUAUAGCUUUGACCAAACAGAACCUAAGUUUAAAAAAAUAAAACAUAUUCUAUGACAUUCUGUGCUUCCCGAUGGCAAGUAUUAGGUAUUGGUUCUUACUACAUUUUUCCCAACCUAUUCAAAAAGGAUAGCCAAGCCAUUCUCUGGCCCACAGUUACCCUCCCUACCUGGCUCUUAUCUUCCAAAAGUGAGACCUUAAGAGCAUUUUGCUGGGGAAACAGAAGCAGCGAGUGCCUUCGAGUAAGAGGAAGGGAACACAAAGAGGAGAGAGGAUCCCUAAGACAAGGAAGGUAUUGGAAUCAGAGAGGUCCUAUGAGUAGUGUUCAGUCACUGGGGCUCCCAGGCUAAGCAAAAAUUCUGGAGUCAAGUUUGUGAGGGAGGGAAGUUUCAGAGCCACCUGAACUUAAGAUACUCUAUACAUUUGGAUGAUGAGAACAUCAAUAGUGUCCAUGAGAGCCUGAGGAAACAGACACCAACCCCAAUUCCCCAGCUCCACUUAGUAUUCUGAUAUUUUCUUGGCUCUCUGGAGACUACAAAUACACUAUGAAAGAACAGUGAUAUUAUUAUCAUAAUUACUGUUUAGAAUAAGAAACAAGAAGACUGAAUAGCUUUUAUUUGGUAACCCAUAAACCUGUUUUAGCAAAAAUGUUACCUGCCUAUAUAAUCUUCUGGACUAUCUUAUGACAGUGUAUUUUAAUAUACGGCUAACAAAUCUCAAAUUAUCAAAGUCUUACUUCAAUACUUAUUCAACAAGUGGAAUGACAGAAGAAAGGUUAUUGAUGGCUCUGAAAACAACCUGGAUAUUCAUCAAAUGUUCCAUGUUUCUAGACUUAGGGCUUUGUAUAUGCUUUUCUGGCUUCCUGGACCAGUCUUGUCUCCAGCCUCCACAGAAGUUGCUGCUUCUCAUUGAAGUUUAAAUGUCAGCAGCAGCCGUAGGCCUUUCAGGAUUAGGAUCACUCUAUCUCAAUAAGUCCUCUGUUACUCUCCAGCUGAGUUCCCCAACACUUUGGACAAACUCUAAUUAUUUUAUUUAUGAACUGAUCUGUUUUUUUCUUAGCUCUCUUCCCACUCAAAAGCCAUUUCCAUGCAACCAGGAGGCUUGC